AGCUUUGUGCAGUGGCAGUAUCGUACCCAAUGAGGUUUACCCUAGGUGUGAUUAUUGCUAAUUGAAACCUCAAAGCCUAUCCCCAAUGACACAUUUCCUCCAACAAGGCCGUAUAUUCUAAUCUUUUCUAAACAGUUCCACCAACUGG